rnacentral:pre_miRNA from 1 species
UAUGUACUCCCUCUGUUUAAAAAUACUUAUCGGACAAAUAGAUAUAUCUGAAUGUAUUUUAGUUAUAGAUACAUUUAUUUUUAUCCAUUUCUUCGAUAAGUAUUUUGGGAUGAAGGGAGUACUUU